rnacentral:rRNA from 1 species
GACUGCGGAGGAUCAUUAAUGAUUAACUGUCUGUCGAGCUUGCUCACAGACUUAUCAUAUCCAUAACACCUGUGCACUUGUCGGAUGGCUUAGUGAAGACCGCAAGGUUGGAACUAUCCAUCUACUUUACAUAACAAUUUAGUAACAAAUGUAGUCUUAUUAUAACAUAAUAAAACUUUCAACAACGGAUCUCUUGGCUCUCGCAUCGAUGAAGAACGCAGCGAAAUGCGAUAAGUAAUGUGAAUUGCAGAAUUCAGUGAAUCAUCGAAUCUUUGAACGCACCUUGCGCUCCCUGGUAUUCCGGGGAGCAUGCCUGUUUGAGUGUCAUGAAAACCCUCAACCUUAGAUUGGUUAACACCUUUCUUUGGCUUGGAUUUGGACGUUUGCCGAUGAUAAGUCGGCUCGUCUUAAAAGUAAUAGCUGGAUCUGUCUCGCGACAUGGUUUGACUUGGCGUAAUAAGUAUUUCGCUAAGGACAUCUUCGGAUGGCCGCGUUGCAAGACUAAAGACCGCUUUCUAAUCCAUUGAUCUUCGGAUUAAUACUCUUGACAUCUGGCCUCAAAUCAGGUAGGACUACCCGCUGAACUUAAGCAUAUCAAUAAGCGGAGGA